CUUUAAUGUUUUAAACUUAUCAAGAUGGGUUUUAGAAAGAUUAACCUUUCAGAAAUAUGAAGGAUGGAUUAGGUGCAGAAGCUACUGUAGAAGUCCAAAUAUGUGGUAAGGAAAUUAAACUCCUGGAGGCAAGGGGCCUAAGGCAUCAAUAUAUAUUUUUUUAAAGCUCACAGAUGAUUUUCUUUUUUUCCUGAGGAAGACCUGCCCUGAGCUAACAUUUGCACCAAUCUUCCUCUAUUUUGCAUGUGGGUCACCACCACAGCAUGGCCUCAGACGAAUGAUGUAGGUCCACGCCCAGGAACUGAACCUGGGCCACUGAAGCAGAGUGUGCUCAACUUAACUACUAGGCUGCAGGGCCAGCCCAACUCACAGGUGAUUCUCAUGUGCAGUCAGCUUUUAGAGGAAGAGGUGGGAGAAGACAUUGCAGAAUAAUGAAUGACAAGCAAAUGAAAGAGGUUCCUUCUAUGAGGCUGUGUCUAAGCAUGGUUAGUUCUGGGGUUGUUCUGGUCUAGACAGACUAUAAACACAGGAAAAAGAAGAGGUGCGGCAGGACCUCUUAGAGGAGGGCUGGAAAUGCCCAUUGGUGACCAUCUCCACAUGUUCCCAUUCUCUCACCACUCUAAGUGAUUCUCAUCUUGGGGGACCUGGUCACGGAAAUUCGCCUAACGAGACAAGACGUUUAAUUCGGAAGUUCAAUCGCAAAGGAAAGAACUGUCUUUUGGGAAAUGCUUUCUCCAUUCAAAAGCAGGAGACUAAUUAUAAGAAAACACCUUAGCAGAUUGAACUGAGGCAUUAACAUAUUGGGUUAAUUAGCAUUUACAGCCUGAGGAAGCUCAAAGAAAUUCCAGCUGACCUUUCUGAACUAGGUUAACCAAGCAUAGACUUUAAUCCUAGGAAGUCCAAUUUAAAGGUUGCUCAGAACACACUGUAGACUGAGUGAUCCUCAACCCUAGCCUCUCAUUAGAAUACUUGUUGAGUUGAAUUUAUUUUCUUUUUAAUGCUCAUGCCCUGGCCCUUAUCCCAGAGUUCCUUGAUGAGACAUAUCGGGGGUGGUUCCCAGGUGUCUGUAUUUUUAGAAAGUUCCACAGGUGAUUCCUAUGCUAAUCAGGAUUUAGAAUCAGAGAACUGAACUGGAAUGAAGAAAUCUGGUUCUAACCUAAGUCUUCUAUAACAAGCUACUUUAAUCUUGAGCAAUUCUCUGAAAUCUAUCUGAGCCUCAUUGAGGUUCCUCAUUAAGAAAAGAGGGACAAUAAUGACCAUAACUACCUCCUCCUAUUCCAUGUGAGAGAAAAAACUGACAUUUUAGAUUCUAUAAAAGUGCCCCAACAUGUAUCAUAUAAACACUGAGUUAUUGUUAUCAAAUCCAUUGACCACCUGAUUUUACUCAACAGCUUACCAGCAGUAGACUCACUUGGCCUCU
rnacentral:lncRNA from 1 species